GCCUGGGUGGCUCAGUUGAUAGAGUGUCUGGCUUCGGCUCAGGUCAUGAUCUCACAGGUUGUGGGUUCGAGCCCCGCAUCAGGCU
rnacentral:tRNA from 1 species